rfam:Clostridiales bacterium CHKCI001 isolate CHKC1 genome assembly, contig: {contig8}
GUGUCCAUAGCUCAGCUGGAUAGAGCAACGGCCUUCUAAGCCGUGGGUCGGGGGUUCGAAUCCCUUUGGGCACG